UCACCAGUAUCGUAGGUGACGUCGUAAUGUUUGUCUUGCUGGAACAAGUAAUCUGCACACAUCCUGUUGCAGUGAUACAAUAAACUCUGCUAAACGAAAGAGUUAUUUAAUUAAAAUAAAUGAAAUCUAGAAAAGGUGACGGAAUCGGCUCGUUGGAUGCCUUCGAAUUUGUAGCGGAAUUUCUCAGACAUGAGUAGACCCCCGCCCCAGGCAGCAUCAAUGUGCAACCAGAGGUGAUGCUUGUCGCAAAUGUCGGCAAUAGGAUUAAUGGGAUCGAACGCCCCGAACACGGUGGUACCGGCCGUGGCCGUCACCAUGAACGGGAUCUUACCAUCGCUGAUGCUCUUGAGGACUAGACGUUCCAGCUCAGCCGGAAUCAUUUGACCCUUUUCAUUGCAUGGGACGCUAAUGCAAUUAUCUGUGCCCAGUCCGGAAGCAGCGGCCGCACUCAUCAUCGAAAAGUGGCUCUAAUAAUAAGUGAACAUGACGAGGGGACCGGGCAAGGAUUGCAAUCCUUCGCUUUUGACACGUGGAUAUUUACGGUAACGGGCAGCCAGGACGGCGUACAAGUUAGAUACAGUUCCACCUGCGCGUUCAAAUUCAUUUCUUGAGAUCGUUUCAGAUAAGAAUUUUUAUGAUUUGAUUUAUGAAUUACCAGGGGCAAGGAUGGAAUCUCCUCCCUUGUAGCCAAUAAUUUCUCUCAUCUUCUUGAGAGUCAUGUGCUCCAUGAGGAUAAAAACGGGUGAAAUCUCGUAGGUGAACAUAUUGGUGUUGGCUGUCGCAGUCAACCACUCGCCCGCCAUUGAAAUGACAUCAACUCCAUUGGACAGCUGGUUGAAGAAACGAGGAUGACCUAUUGGCAUUUUGAAAAAUCGCCCCCAAACAAAAAGGAGCUGUCGGAUCACAAUUCCCUUCUGGCGGAAUGAAAAAAAAAAAUCCCUUCCAAGAAAAGCAGAUAACACGCCAAUGUUUAUAGAUGCGGAUGAGACCUGUCAUCAACAUGUUCCCAAGAGAAUUCGCUACCACACCCUAUUUACCAUACCAUUUGGGGCUCUGGCUUUCAUCGUCUUCACAAAACACAUUGAUAGACGCUCAGCAGGACGAGUCGCAGCGAUAUUGGUUCUCUAAACUGGCGCAAUUGGUCAUCUCGCCGACCCGUUAUGGCAAUCUGUUACCCCUCCGCCUUCAUCUCUCUGCGGAUUGCUGGAGCGAAACGAUCGACCCAUUAACAUCCUGCCAGACUCUUACGCAAAAAUUUGAUUUGUUGACCUCCAGUCGAAACUUUUGUCUAAAAGUCCUUGGACGGCACAGGGAAGAAAAGAAAGAAAACUUUUGGCUUAAAUUUUUUUUUUUUCUUUUGGUGCUUUUGUUUGCGUGUUGUUUUGUGAUGGGCUUUUGACAUUCUGUCUCCCAUUCUCCGUGUAUUAAUGAUUUCUAUAUAGAUAGGUACAAGGGGGUGGAGAGUGAGACUGCUGUAUUGCCAUUGUGUUGGCGCCUGCCCUCACCCCAAAUCCGAGAGGGUGUGUGGGGAGAUCAAUCUCCCGAUUUGUGAUCCCCCUCUCUAUACUCUCUCACUUUACUUGUAAUAAUAAUAAUACUCUCCUCUUUUUUUCUUUCUCUUUUUCAUGUAUGGUGAAGGAAAUCCAUUGGACUUGUUUUCUCUUUGAUCGAAGGAUCUUGUAGGAGGGAAAAAGAGAGGCUCAACCUACUGACAUCUCCCUCUCCAUUUUUUUUUUUUUAGUAUAACUUUCAAUAAUGUGUCGAGCUGUCGCUCACGUUCUUUUUUUCUAUUCAACACUUAAAAGAAAAAAAAAGGCACAUAAGGCGUGAACAGUCUUUACUACUCCUACCCUCUUAUUCCGGGAGCAAUCCGCGUGAGACGGUACGCAGCUGUUGGUGCUGGAGGGGGUGACAGACGGACCCGCGAUCCGUCUUGAAAAAACUACCACGUCAAGCGGAAGACAAAGGAAAUGGAUCAAAUCGUUUUGACGCGCAAAGGAUCGCGAGAAAUCUAUCAGUUGAUUUUGUUCGUCGUGUAAGGCAUCAUAAGAUUUUUGAUCUCAAUGUUUUCCCGUUUUAAAUAGUUGCCCGCCUUUGAAAGGGAAUCGAUCCGCAAAUGUUGGCGUGCGUUUCUUUUCCCCGUCAGAACUGCAUCGAGUUGAGGAGAUGAGAAAACAAGGAGCCAAUCGAACGAAUAACAGCUGCCUCCUACCCUGUUCGGCCCAGUAAAGGCGGAGUAGGAAGACGAUGAGACCGCCGAACGCAACUUUUCCAUCAAAAACGCGCACCCAUCGAGGCUCGGAAUAUUAUUCACACAUAUCAAAGUGGAUGGGGGAUAAAAAAAGAAAAAAAAGGAAAAUUUGGGGAGUUGAACCAUCUGUAAAAUAGGGGGAUCCAUUGGCCAUCAAGUCAAACAUCCAUUCACCCAAGUAUUUAUGGAGGAUGACAGCGAUAAGAAGGUGCAGGGGAAUAUCCUGAAACAUCCACUUCAUUUCCUCUCGGAGACUUGUUUGGUCCCCCCCUCCCUUUACCGACUGACACGCCAUUUCCAUCGACCCGAAUGGAACAAGGAGAAAUGUGUGGACUUCCGUUUGACAUUUUGGGUUAAAACAUCAACCACAAAUCCACGUUCGUCUUUCUCGCGUAGCCUCUCCCCAAAAACGAAUCUCCUUUUAUUUGGCUGUGUCUUAGCUUGUUUGAGUUGCGGCUAAUUGGAUGGCUCCUGGAUUUAGUGAGACUGCAAAGAGAGGCUUUACUGCUGAUGGACACUUCUAGACCCGUCGGGUGUCUAGAAGUGAGAGUGUCACGACAAUCGGCCAGCAGCUGGUCGAUGUUUUUCGGCUGAUUGGGCAACGACAAGUCGAUGAUCUCCAACAGUUGCUCGGGAUGGUGAAAAUCGAGGAUUUUGCUGGAACGAUCGAACGUCUUGUGCAGGAAAUCCAUCAAGAUCUCCGUCAUCCGGUUGAGGAAUUCCCUCGUCUCCGGUUCGCUAUCCCCAGCCAAAGGUAGCAGAUCUGCGUUGGAGAAAAAUGAAUAAAAAAAAACUCACCGGAAUAGUAGAGAGAGCCAAUGUCUUUGGCCAAACGAUGCGAAUUUCCCUGUUCAUCCUGGACGGACAUUUUGCAAUUGAAAUUCGCUGCUGGAAG
rnacentral:lncRNA from 1 species